rnacentral:misc_RNA from 1 species
AACGCACAUUGCGCCCACUGGUAUUCCGGUGGGCAUGCCUGUUCGAGCGUCAUUAUCCUCUCUCCCAACCUCUGGUCGGGGCGUUGGAUCGAGUUGUGGUCUCGUCCGCAACUGGUCUCAAAGACAAUGACGGCGUCCGUGGGACCCUCUUCGCAACGAGUCUUUCGAGGCACGCGGGGAGUUGCAAGGUCUCGUCGGGUCGGUCGACACCUUUAUUUUUUUCUAGGUUGACCUCGGAUCAGGUAGGAAUACCCGCUGAACUUAA